AUAUCAAUAAGCGGAGGAAAAGAAACCAACAGGGAUUGCCUCAGUAACGGCGAGUGAAGCGGCAAAAGCUCAAAUUUGAAAUCUGGCCUCUGGUCCGAGUUGUAAUUUGAAGAAGCGACUUUGGUACCGGCUCUUGUCUAUGUUCCUUGGAACAGGACGUCACAGAGGGUGAGAAUCCCGUGCGAUGAGAUGUCCGGUGCUAUGUAAAGCGUUUUCGACGAGUCGAGUUGUUUGGGAAUGCAGCUCUAAGUGGGUGGUAAAUUCCAUCUAAAGCUAAAUAUUGGCGAGAGACCGAUAGCGAACAAGUACAGUGAUGGAAAGAUGAAAAGAACUUUGAAAAGAGAGUGAAAAAGUACGUGAAAUUGUUGAAAGGGAAGGGCUUGAGAUCAGACUUUGUAUUUCCAUGGCGCUCUUUCGGGGGUGUCCUCUGGGUUUACAGGGCCAGCAUGGGUUCUGCGGGCGAGAUAAGGACUUAGGAAUGUGGCUCCGCUUCGGGGGAGUGUUAUAGCCUGAUGUACUGGUCGCCACGCGGGACCGAGGACUGCGAAUCUAGGAUGCUGGCAUAAUGAUCUUAAGCCGC
rnacentral:rRNA from 1 species